rnacentral:lncRNA from 1 species
UAGAUGGUGGCUCACCAUUUUAAAAAAUGAUAAUUACAUCCAAAUUCCAUUUGUUGAGCCUAUGAGUAUGAUUUUGUGGCAAACUGUCUUUCUACCUCUGCAAGAUUAAUCUCUCUAGAAAGCAGAGAAGGAAGCCAUACAGCUCUUCAGAUGCUGAUGAUCUAUUUAUUUAUUUAUCACCUUGAUGAAACAAUUAGGAGACUAGAGCCUCAUAAAUUACUUGCCCAUGUUAUGAUGCUUUAGCGUUUUUUUCUGCAGCUGCACUGAUGCCAUGCAUCCUUCCUUGGCUGGCCUUGUGAGGUUAUUAAAGGAUAUUUCAAGAAACUACCACAAUCUUUCCUAUUGUCAUGUUCAUACAUAUUGAUAAGCUGAGUAGCUAAUCCUCCCCUUUAUCCAUUAAGCUGAAAGUGAGGGGUGGGGAGAAUAAGAGGAUCAUCAGUAACCUGAAAUGAGGAAUGAAAUAAGAGCACUGAUAGAGCAUCAUUCAUGGAAGUGUGGCUGCCCAUGAGUUUUCCCACACCAAGCUGCACUGGAAGGGAAUGUUUCCUCACUCUGGUCUAUGUAGGACCAUGAAUUACAUACUGAGCACUGGGAGGACUCCUGAUAACAUCAGGAGAUGUAUGCAUGUGCACCAGUGGUUAGUAGGCUUAAUCUUAUAGAGCACACUAAUUAGAUAUUGCUUUUCCUGUUGGGUUUGGCAAAUAAAUUGCUAUCAUCAUUACCACAGAUUAUGGCAAAAGCCCUGCAAAUAGAACAUCUGCUUUUAAUUAAAUACACGCAGAGAUAUUUCAACACAUACCCAUUAAUCAAACGUUAACUUUGCUUUUAACCUCUUUUACUUAGUCAAGCAGUUGUUAUAAAAACAUGUACUCAUUCUUCCAUGCAACAGUGGUUAUAAUUUUCUAUGUAUAUGUAUAUCUAAAAAAAAAAAGAAAAAAAAAAAAAAGAAAAGGCUUUUAUCUUGGAAAGGUUUUUGUUGUUUUUUGUUGUUUUUUUUUUGUUUGUUUGUUUUGUUUUGUUUUCCUAUAUAUUCCCUCACUUGUACAAUUCAUUUUGGUCUAAUUUUCAAAAUGGGUGACCAGGUGCUUGAGAUAACACAGGUAGGUCUGAAUUCCUCUAAAAACAAUGCUUCUAGAGGUCCAUCACUGCCAGCAUCUGUAAGCUCAUUGCUGAGAAAGAAAUGAUUUGCUGCUGGCAGAGAGAAAGGCAAAGCUAAUUUAGGAACCUUUGAAUGAGGGGAGAACUGAUAAAACAUUUUCUGUCUCCAACUGUUCUGAGUUUUCUCACAGUCAAGAGUCAAAAUUGAUAGUACUUUAAACAAGAAAGCUGUAGAGCGUCUUGAACUUUAGGGUCAAAUUGUGCUAAUUGGGUAACAAUUAAUUUUGAGUGACCUCUAGUGGUGCUUUCCCACAAUUUCCUUUCAAUUAGAUAAGUGGGAUCCCUAUUAGUAACAGAAUAUCAGGCUCUGUAUUUAAUAGCCUUUUCUCAUCAGCAGGGUAAAUAGUCCAGAGCUAGAUGGGGAGGCCACAUCACGGGUUUGCUUUUCUGCACAAAUCUCCUGAUAACUUGAUAGAGCACAUGAUGGAUUUUCCUUAUGCAUUCUUUUUUGCUCACUGAUCAUUCUACCUAGCACAGCUCUAUGUUGCAAAGCAGCCCACACCCCAGGACUUCGUUGUACGAAUAUGUCCAAGUGUGCCUCUGCAGGAAAAUGAAGAUGUGAUUUCACCAGAGCUAUAGCAGUGGGACUGCAGAAGCAGCUGUGGGUCAUGGCCUAUGGACUUGCACAGGAGGGCGAUGUGCAGGCUGCAAUUUGAAGAUCGGAAGAACAGAACUGUGACAGCAACAAGAGGGGGAUUUGCCAUCUUCAAACAGCGCUUUACAACCGCAACAGCCAAGAUGAGAAACUGAGGCACAAAUUGCUCCCAACACCCAGAUUUCCCAGAUUAUUUGGCUUGGAAAUAACAUUGAGGAUCAAUCACAGCCAUUUGGAGACAGACCCAGAAUGCACCACAGAAGUGCUGUGAAUCCUUCUUCAUUUCUUGGCUGAAGUGGCAACCAGAUCCUCAGCAUCCUCACCCAAGUUUGCGCCCUCAACACAGCGUGGCCCUCUGCCAGCUGGGAGCUUUUCCAGCCCACAGAUGAUAAUGACCUGGUGGAUCUUCAAAUUCACUGGACUUCAGGGAUCCAGCAAUGACUUCUGCCAGAAAAGGGGGGCUGGCGAAUGGAAUGACUGUGUAGGGUGAAUGCAGCACCACAUACAAGAAGCAGUACAAUCGCUGCCUACAUUUUGUGGGUCUGGCAUGCAGAAUGCAUUCAGUGCUGUAUCUCCAAUGAACCCACUUCAGUGUGAAGCUGUGAUAACGUGGGGAGAUCAGAAGAUCUCCUGAGGGUUGAUACGCACCAUGACAAGCUUUCAAAUGCCAGGUGAUGGUACUGAAAGGGACAUCCAGAGCUCCAUCACAACAGCAGUUCCUGCAUUUGAACCCGUUUGUGGAACUACCUCUUGGUUUAUUUUGAGCACAGUACAAAUUUACUAAAAUUAAACUUCUGAAAAUGUGAAGACAGAGAAGCAAGUUAAACCUCCUGGGUAAAUUUGCCACUCAGCACACUCUAGAUGAAAUCACCUUUAAUGGAAAUAAGACUAUUCUAAGAUUACCUGUAUUUCCUCGGGUUAGGGGUCCUCUUUCUUCCCCUGAUGCACUACACAGAUCCUAUUGGUACCACUGAGUCAUAAUGCGAGCAGCAGAGAUUGCAGCACCACUCACAACUCUUGCCCUCAGGUAGCCCAUGAACAUCGAUACCUUACAUCGUUGCAUCAGCACAGCAUGAAGCACCAGCAGGUAAGACGAGGAUAGAGCACUUGCUCAGAGGAUGGUUUUUCACUUGGCACUGCUGUGCCCGGGACCAGGCUCCAAAAGCAAGCACAAGGGAACUCGUUAAGUACAACAGGAUGCGAUUAGUCCCACAUGGGGAGCUCAUGUGUUAUAUCAAAAGAAACAACAACCAGCUGGUAGAACUACUUACAUCAAGGAAAGGAAUGGUGAGGAGGAGAGCUGAGGAGAGCAGUGACCACCAGGAGAGCGAGUACUGGGUAUGAGACAAGAAGCUUUUGGAUCUACGUGGGCAUGACUGCACCCCGGUCAAGGGGACAACGUGACACACAAAGGAGGUGACCCUGCAGCGUGACAGAUCUGAAUGCACGGAGUACAGAUGGAGCAUCUCCGAGGGAUGUGGUCUGAGGAAUCACAAGUGAAAUUGAUGAGAACUUGAUGCAACACCAAGCACUUUUAUCAGAAUUUCAAUGGAAAUUCCAAGCAAAGCAGGUUGGAUGACAAGCACAUGAACACCGACCUUGGGAAGAGCAACUGUGAGUGUGGGGAAGCUUUUAACACAGAAAAGAACUGUGGAAAAAUGAAGAUAGGUAGCAAAAACUGGAUUCAUGGUGGCCUUCCCAUUGAUAGGAAUUUCUCUGCAUGAGGAUGCCCUAGGAUGCAUGCUGGCAGCUCAGUGCAACACACGGCAGGGGUGUGCACCGCAGGACAUUUCCCCAUGCAAGUCUGUUCUGGAAGGGCAAUAUUUCACCUGAGAGAACAGGCUAAGAGAACAUGCACUUUGCAAGUGCAAAAAGAAGCGUAAGACCCUCUAAAUGUCUGGCCCCAGGCAAUCUGUUUCCUUUCACAGGACCGCUCUUGAAGCAGAUCUGCAAGGACUUAUCGCUUCCAUCUGCGCCACAGAGACAAGGGCACCGUUCUCACCCCAGUUCCACACAGACAUCCCAGAAUUGCCGACAGCCGCUGCGGCCCCAUAGCAAAAUAUUCCUGCAUGUCUCAGCAAGCUUUCCAAGCUGUGCACGCGGGGACGUGCAGCCACACACACGCCCUGUGCAGGUGGCUCCUGGGAACCCAACCGUGAGCUCUCCUUGUUGGGAAAUGGAGAACCUUCCUCCAUUUCAGCAGCUCCUCUACCAAAUUGCACCCCCCAAAAUACAGCUGGGAGAUACACGCAUAUUCAGUUCUGGGGCCUCCAACGCAAGAAGGUUAUGGAGCUGUUGGAGAGGGCUCAGAGGAGGGCCACAAAGAUGAUCAGAGAGCUGGAGCACCUUCCCUAUGGGGACAGGCUAAGAGAGCUGGGGCUCUUCAGCCUGGAGAAGAGAAGGCUCCAGGGGGACUUUAUAGCGGCCUUCCAGGACCUGAAGAGGGCCUACAGGAAAGAUGGGGAGGGACUUUUUAUAAGGGCAGGUAGUGACAGGAUGAGUGGAAACAGUUUUAAACUGGAAGUGGGUAGAUUGAGGCUGGAUAUCAGGAUGAAAUUCUUUACUGUGAGGGUGGUAAGACACAGGAACAGGUUGCCCAGUGAAGCUGUGGAUGACCCCUCCCCAGAGGUGUUCAAGCCCAGGUUGGAUGGGGCUGUGAGCAACCUAGUCUAGAGGGAGGUGUUCCUGCCUAUAGCAGGAGAGUUGAAACUAGAUGAUCUUAAAUGUCUCUUCCAACCCCAAACUGUUCUGUGAUUCUCUCCAGAUGCAUGUUGGUGGUAGGACAUAAGUGCUGCACAGCCCCUUCCAGGAGCACCUGGAGAUGCUUCCAGAAGACUCUGCCUGGACACAGUGUGCUGCUUGACCACAUCUGCCUGUUGUAAAGCGAAGUACCUAAAGCAAGCCAAAUUCAUGGAAGGCGAAGCACUUAUUUAGUGCAAUUUAGCAGUCACCUGUGCACCUGGGAAAUCUGCUUGGUGCUAAAGGUUUGCCUGAGCCCUGGUUCUGUGAGGAUAAAUGAGAACGUGUGUUGGGCAAGAGCAGCAGGAGGCAGCCAGAUCUGCACUGAGCUAACCUCAUCCCACCCAGUAUGCAAGAAAUGUAUCUGUGAAGAACUACUCGUACAACUGUGUUCAUCAGCAAAGACUUACAUUAGUGCACAGCUUCCAUUACGCCUAACUGAAACCAAAGAGAGUCAGCUCGUCUUGGACUUCAUAGCAGAGCCCAGUGAGGAUGAAAGAUCACCCCUUGUUAACAGCAAGGGGCUCAUAGGAGACUGGUGUCAGCAGCAGCAAAAAGGAAGGAGAGCGAGGCGUGCAGGAGCAGAGCAGACAUCCUUCUCACCAUCUCUUCCACGACUGUUGAACUGCUUCCUCUAAGAGAUUAAGAUGACGACCUGUCCUGCUGUCUCCGGGCUGGGAGAUAAGGUCUAUCUCUGCAUCCCAACUGUCCUCGCUGGGGAACUGCAAGGAGUGGUGCUGACAGGAGUGCAGCAAGGGAGGAGAUGGGGAGAGCAGUGAGCAGCAAAUGGAAAAUUCUGGCACUGCGGGGCUGAGCGAGAGUGUCACUGCUGACAUCACUAAAAGUAGGAUCAAACCUGAUCUAAAAAGCAAUUUGGAAUAUGAGCUUUUCUUUCCAAAUGAGCGGUAAGUGCCUUCCUUCACACGGAAUCCGGUGCAGUAAUAGUGGCUUCUAUUACACUUUAAAUUGAUUGGCUUUAUGGCCCAGAACUGGGGAAUUGCCCUAGCCUGAUCUCGGCGGGCUCAUGUUUCUAAUUCUGGCAACUCUAAAUCCGGAUGCCCUGAAAAUCCGUGCUGUUGCUUACAGUGUGUGCUGUUAUCUCCAUUUUCAUGUGUCCGGGCAAAAUAAAGGAGCCGGGAUGCACAGAAGAUUGGCCAAAAGGUGAAAAGGAAACCAGGAAAGCAAGCUAGCGAGUGCAGAAGGAAAAGUUUACAUGCAGAGUUCAUCCAUGUAUAAUCUUGAAUGAUUAUUAGAGAAUGGCUUGGGUUGGAAGGAACCUCCAUGAUCAUCCACUUCCAACCCCAUGCUAUAGACUGGUUGCCAACUGCUAGACCAGGCUGUGCACAGUCCCAACCAGCCUGGCCAUGAAUGCCUCCUUUGUAUUUGCAUUAUCCAAGACCUUUUGUAUGAGAGCGAGGUAGCAUCUCUGUGUCCUUCCAUUGGGGUCUGAAGGACAUGGAUGGAGAGAUGCAGACACCACCACGCUUCUGAGCCCACGUCAAUCCUUUGCACGGCCUGUGUGCAGCCCCAUUUAGGACAUCAGAACCUGUAUUUGUGCCACCAGGUUAAAAAAUAGCCCCACUGAAAGGAAAAGCUUAACAAGGUGCAGCACAUCGGCAUGAAGGAAAGAGCAGCUGAUGGGCUGCAGAGUGACUUGGAGGAGCUCCCACCCUGUGCUGGAGCAGAGCUCAUAACUCCGGCUCACACGGAGGACGUGCCCUGGGGGAAUUAUUCUACCUUUGAUCCGCACACGAAAUCCCAGCUGCUGUCAGAGGAGCCGUGCAUGCCUAACCACGGCUGUACAUCAUCCUAAUAAAGGCCAAAGAGAAGCUCAUAUAUAAAUGGAGUGCAAAGUUUUUUGACACUGGCUCUAAUAAAUAUCAGCACGCUUGGAAAAAAAAUAAUGUGGGCUUACGUGUCUGAGGUGGGAAAAUAGCUAUAGCCGUGCCUGAUUGACUGGAAAGAAAUAUUUAAGGCCGUUGAAUCAUUAGAUAAAAACUGAUCUUGAAAUGUCAGGAUCUGGUGAGGAUAACAGAACUGUCAAUUUUGUCCAUGAAAAUCUCCCUUUUCUUUUGCCCACUUUUCUCUUUUAUUUUUAAUAACAAUCCGUUGGAAAUGCUGCACUCGUGGCUUGCUGGUAUUUGCUGUUCUAUUUUAAUACUAUCCAGUAGUUCUUUCAUCCUUUUCUUUUAAUAUUUACUCAUAGAAUCAAAUGCUGGGCAAAAUUUAUCUGCUGAAAAAAAAUUCCCAAGAGUGAAAACCAAUUACACGUACGUUGUUAGUGAGGGCAUGGCUGGGGCUUCUGUCCAACCCAAGAGUCCUUCCAUUGAGCUUACAGCAGCCCAGGACUUCGGCAUUAGGAGUAUGGUGUGAAUGUUUUGCUCUGUGCAGCGUUGUUUCUUAACUUUGUGUAAAGAUGAAAUGCUGUAUGCAUCGGUUACACCGGGUAUGGCCUUGGAAACAUCAACUGCUAUUCCACAGGAUAACACGUAGCUGGUAAUGAGGUGACUAAUAGUAAAGACUGUGGCUGGGAGCAGCAGUUCAACAUAAGAGGCUCUCCAGCCUGAAGGAUUCCAGCUGGAAAAGGCCAGUUUAAAAUUCUCACGUUUCCUCCACAUUCAACAACUGCUUCUGCAGCUCAAAUGAUCCAUCCUGGCUACUCCUAUACGGCGUGUCACGUCCUUUGUGGAGAGAAGGAAGCCAGCCUUCAGCUGAGCAGCAAAUUGUGGGCUGAGGGUGACCUGGGGCCUUCUGCAGCCCUUCUUGUAUCGGGGACAGGGACAGAGCUUUGGCUGAGCCCAACCGCACAGCGGGUAGUGGAACCUUGUGCUGACAGUGGGGCACAGGACAGCUCUGGAUGUGCCAUAGCCCCUCUGGCCAUAGAGCUGAGCCACUGGCAUGAUAGAGGGCAUGGCUCCCCCAAAAAACUGGGACAGUGUGAUGCAGAUUUCAAUGGAACUGUCACCCUCCAAACGAGGUCUGCAGGGAAAUUCCACUGAUUAUUUUCUUCCUCCGUCUCUCUGUUUGAUAUAUGAAGUAAGUAGGAGAGAGGGAAGAGGAGAAGCUAAGCCUCAUAAGCUGCUCCACUGGCUGCUGUGGGUCUCCAUUCUGAUUUCCCACUGUCAGCGUUUUCAAAGACACCAACACUGCUCAAUUUAAGCAACGCAUAAUACAAAGCCAAGAACUUCUUUUGACAGGUUGUCUUAGAAAAGAAAGAAAGAAAGAAAAGAGAAGGAGGAUCUCAAUUUUAACUACAUUUAUCUUAACACGCCAGACACAUGGAAAUCCCAUGGGCACAAAAGAGGGGUCACCAGACAUGGGACACGGAGCUGCCAUGGGGCUCGGAGGCAGGAGUGCUGCCAGAGCCCAGGCCAUGCCAGCAUGAAGUCCUUAUAACACACAGAGCCAGAACCUCCCAGUUUUAGCAAAUACAGACAGCCAGAAAGCAGCUCUCAUCUGUAAUAAUUACAACAGAGUUUCCCUUGUCCUUGCUCUAUUUAUUGCUUUUGCCCUUACCAUGCAUUGUCCGAGACAGAAGAGACUAUUAACGAUCAGAAUAUUUCUUUGUGGACAGGCAGAGCUUUGGUGGAAAACUCCCUCUUUCUCUCAAACAUCGCCACUUCUAUUAGAGGAGGAACGAGUUGGUUUACACUGCAGAUUGAAUGAGGCAUUAAAUGACUGCGUUGCAAUGACUGCAGUGGGGGGAAUGGUCGCCUCUGGUGGAAUUGGAAAGCUGUAAUGACACCUUCAUAAAGGCACAAUAACUGUUCAAGUAUCCUUGUCUAAUUUGUCACAAAAGUUGUCCAGGACUUUUCUCUCCUUUAUUUUUCAGAGGGGGAAAAGGUGAAUAUCAGGAAUUACAGCUGAG